rnacentral:rRNA from 1 species
UGAGACAGUUCGGUCCCUAUCUGCCGUGGGCGUUGGAAGAUUGAAAGGGGCUGCUCCUAGUACGAGAGGACCGGAGUGGACGCACCACUGGUGUUCGGGUUGUCAUGCCAAUGGCAUUGCCCGGUAGCUAAGUGCGGAAGAGAUAACCGCUGAAAGCAUCUAAGCGGGAAACUUGCCUUGAGAUGAGUCUUCCCUGACUCUUUAAGGGUC